AGAGUUUGAUCUUGUCUCAUAUUGAACGCUGGCGGCAGGCCUAACACAUGCAAGUCGGACGGUAGCACAGAGGAGCUUGCUCCUUGGGUGACGAGUGGCGGACGGGUGAGUAAUGUCUGGGAAACUGCCUGAUGGAGGGGGAUAACUACUGGAAACGGUAGCUAAUACCGCAUAACCUCGCAAGAGCAAAGUGGGGGACCUUCGGGCCUCACGCCAUCGGAUGUGCCCAGAUGGGAUUAGCUAGUAGGUGGGGUAACGGCUCACCUAGGCGACGAUCCCUAGCUGGUCUGAGAGGAUGACCAGCCACACUGGAACUGAGACACGGUCCAGACUCCUACGGGAGGCAGCAGUGGGGAAUAUUGCACAAUGGGCGCAAGCCUGAUGCAGGCAUGCCGCGUGUAUGAAGAAGGCCUUCGGGUUGUAAAGUACUUUCAGCGGGGAGGAAGGCGGUGAGGUUAAUAACCUCACCGAUUGACUUUACCCGCAGAAGAAGCACCGGCUAACUCCGUGCCAGCAUUCGCUGUAAUACGGAGGGUGCAAGCUUUAAUCGGAAUUACUGGGCCUUGACGU
rnacentral:rRNA from 1 species